rnacentral:rRNA from 1 species
CAAUAGCGUAUAUUAUUGAUGUUGCAGUUGAAACGUUCGUAGUCGAACUUUAUGUGCUUGGAUACUAUAACAUCUUUGAUGUGAUAGUGUCAAAGAUGUUAUAGUGUUUUCAGCACAGAUCAUGCAAACCAACACCAUAUGUUUCAUAUGGUUGUUUGAUUUGCAUCUUACUUUGAGUGAAUCGGCGUGUUCCACGCAGGCAUGUGCCUUGAACGAUUUACCAUAGCAUAAAUAGAGUAUGGAAGUAUUUGUUUGCUUCUUCACGGAUAUUUCUGAUACUGACAAGAACGGUUGAGGGCAUUCGUAUUCAACUGCUAGAGGUGAAAUUCUUUGAUUAGUUGAGGACGAACUAUUGCGAAAGCAUCUGCCAUGGACGUUUCUUUUGA